GAUGAACGCUGACAGAAUGCUUAACACAUGCAAGUCUACUUGAACUUCGGUUUGGGUGGCGGACGGGUGAGUAACGCGUAAAGAACUUGCCUCACAGAUAGGGACAACAUUUGGAAACGAAUGCUAAUACCUGAUAUUAUGAUUUUAGGGCAUCCUAGAAUUAUGAAAGCUAUAUGCACUGUGAGAGAGCUUUGCGUCCCAUUAGCUAGUUGGAGAGGUAACGGCUCACCAAGGCGAUGAUGGGUAGCCGGCCUGAGAGGGUGAUCGGCCACAAGGGGACUGAGACCCGGCCCUUACUCCUACGGGAGGCAGCAGUGGGGAAUAUUGGACAAUGGACCAAGAGUCUGAUCCAGCAAUUCUGUGUGCACGAUGAAGUUUUUCGGAAUGUAAAGUGCUUUCAGUUGGGAAGAAAAAAAUGACGGUACCAACAGAAGAAGUGACGGCUAAAUACGUG
rnacentral:rRNA from 1 species